rnacentral:lncRNA from 1 species
CCACGUUCAGUGCGGGGUCCUGCCUGCAGUAUAUCCUCACCGGUGGUGGCAGGGAGCCUUUAGGAAACGAGCUCUCGACGUCGGCUCCUUGACCGGCGACGAGCGCCGCACACAUGAGCAGGAUCGCCGCCCAAGCUAAGCCGGCAGCUGCGGUGGCGAGCCUUGCCAUUGUCUUGGCGUGUAGGAGACAGAGAUACACCAACGAGCGCUGCUAGCUUUGAUCGUGUGCUUUGGGUGGUGUCUUCCAAGAGGCUCGCCACCCUCCCUUUUAUACAGGAAGCCCAGCUCCCAAGUAAUGGCUCAUACAGCUC